rnacentral:rRNA from 1 species
UACGUAGGGGGCAAGCGUUGUCCGGAUUUAUUGGGCGUAAAGAGCGUGUAGGCGGCCAUACAGGUCCGUUGUGAAAACUGGAGGCUUAACCUCCAGACGUCGAUGGAAACCGUAUGGCUAGAGUCCGGAAGAGGAGGGUGGAAUUCCUGGUGUAGCGGUGAAAUGCGCAGAUAUCGGGAGGAACACCUGUGGCGAAAGCGGCGCACUGGACCACAACUGACGCUGAGGCGCGAAAGCUAGGGGAGCAAACAGG